rnacentral:lncRNA from 1 species
GGAUUAGCGGAUUCCUUUUUUUGUAUGCUUUCCUGUAGCUCUUUUCCCGAUCUCUUUUUCUUCAUUAAAAGUGUUUACAAGCCGCAGACAUAUAGCCAGGGAGUGCCAUCCCUAAAAAAAAGAACUCUUUCUUAGUAGAGCUAUGACUUGGUUUAAUCCUACUAGAAAGGCAGUGAGUGACCUACAUUGAGUAGGAAUUUUGCAAUAUCCCUUCUAAGCCUAGGAGCUCUUGGAGGCAUUACCCCUGCUACAGUUGGAGUUGAUGGUCCCAGUCUUUUCUGUUUGCGUAGAAGUUCUUCCUCUUGCUCCAUCGAAUGCACUGAGAAA